UACAGAGGUGGCAAGCGUUGUUCGGAAUUACUGGGCGUAAAGGGCGCGUAGGCGGUCUUGUAAGUCUUGUGUGAAAUCCCUCGGCUUAACUGAGGAACUGCACGGGAUACUGCGAGACUUGAGAUCGGGAGAGGGAAGCGGAAUUCCGGGUGUAGCGGUGAAAUGCGUAGAUAUCCGGAGGAACACCGGUGGCGAAGGCGGCUUCCUGGACUGAUACUGACGCUGAGGCGCGAAAGCUAGGGGAGCAAACAGG
rnacentral:rRNA from 1 species